AGGGUUUGAUCCUGGCUCAGGAUGAACGCUGGCGGCGUGCUUAACACAUGCAAGUCGAACGAACCUUCGGGUUAGUGGCGGACGGGUGAGUAACGCGUGAGAAUCUGCCCUCAGGAGGGGGAUAACGGUUGGAAACGACCGCUAAUACCCCAUAUGCCUACUGGUGAAAUGAAUUUCGCCUGAGGAUGAGCUCGCGUCUGAUUAGCUUGUUGGUGAGGUAAUGGCUCACCAAGGCUUCGAUCAGUAGCUGGUCUGAGAGGAUGAUCAGCCACACUGGGACUGAGACACGGCCCAGACUCCUACGGGAGGCAGCAGUGGGGAAUUUUCCGCAAUGGGCGAAAGCCUGACGGAGCAACGCCGCGUGAGGGACGAAGGCCUCUGGGCUGUAAACCUCUUUUCUCAAGGAAGAAGAUAUGACGGUACUUGAGGAAUAAGCCACGGCUAAUUCCGUGCCAGCAGCCGCGGUAAUUC
rnacentral:rRNA from 1 species